rnacentral:rRNA from 1 species
CCCCUAAGCCCAAAUCUAUACCCUCCGCUCACUGUCGGUACCCCACACCCGUCUUUAGUCCGCACACGGCGCGUCCAUACUCUGGGGACCCAACUACUAUCGACCCCCUGGGUGUCCCCCCUGGUCAAUUUGAUGCAUUCGCGCUAAAUUGGUAAUAUUAGUGCAUAUGGGGGAAAGAUGUGUGUUGCCCCCUGGGAAGAUCGCCCGUAACGCUUUAUCUUCCGAAAUUCUCUGCGGGCCCGCCCAAGAGAGGAGUCAUUCGUGUUAAAUUGUUGAUACCGCAGCCACCCUUUCAGGGCUUAAAAGUUAAUGACUAUUUUGUAAGGGAGUGCUUCUGCAAGGCCACGAAAAAUAAGUGCUGCAUCGCUAUCCUCACAUCGUGCCCCGAGAUGUGGGUUAAAGUCCCGACAACGAGUGCAACCCUCGCCCUCCGUUGCUCCCCGGGUCAUGCCGGGCACUCUGAGGGGACUGCCCCGGUGAACGGGGAGGAAGGUGGGGAUGACGUCAAGUCCUCAUGGCCUUUAUGUCCAGGGCUACACACGUGCUACAAUGGUCAGGACAAUGGGUCGCUCCCGCGCAAGCGGUUGCCAAUCUCAAAAACCUGGCCCUAGUUCGGAUGGUCGGCUGCAACUCGCCGGCCUGAAGCUGGAAUCGCUAGUAAUCGGAGAUCAGCACGCUCCGGUGAAUACGUUCCCGGGCCUUGUACACACCGCCCGUCACACCACGAAAGCCGUGUGUACCAGAAGUCGCUGGGCCAACCCCUUCGGGGGAGGUAGGCGCCUAAGGUAUGCGGGGUAAUUGGGGUGAAGUCGUAACAAGGUAAAUGCCA